GCCAUUAUGAGAACUCUGCCUUCUCAGAUAAAAAAAAUUCCAUGCCUCAGAGCUUAAAGCAUACCUCCCUAUAAUCCAUUUCUUUGUUCCAGCCAGACUUUCUUUCUGGAAUUUUCCUCCAUGCUCCGUGACCUGAUCAAGGGUUAAAGAGGAUUCCAUAUCCCACACUACAUUAGAGAAGAGUGACAGCAUAUCAGAGAGAGGCAUUGUGGACCUGUGUUUAAGUCAGCCUGUCUGAAUCCACAUCCUGGCUCCAUCCUUCUUUACUAGUGGAAGGACUGAAGCUCAAGAAGCUAAUGAGUGGCAGAAGCUUCACUUAACCAGGUUCCUUGGAUUUUCAUCAAACUACAGCAGUUUCUUCUGUACCAUGAACCAGUUAUUCUAUUACACUACCGUGGCCAGAUCCUGGAUAGAAUUCUUUGUGGAACCAGAGGUCAGGCUGAUGGAGGUUUUGCCAGCUUGAACAUGUAGUUUCCAAAAUGACUCUGGUUAUCAAUAUCCAUCCAGUAGAAGGAGAAAGAGGAAGAAGAUUGUGUGGUAGAAGACUGAAUGAGCCAGUCCUGGAGUCCCUACUACUCAUACUCCAUUGGCCGGAACUCAGUCACAUGGCCACAUCUGACCAUGAGGCAGUCUGGGAAAUGGAUUCCAGCUGUGUUCCAAUGAGGAAGCAGGUUCGAUGAAGAUCUAACCAAUCUCUCUCUCACAGAGGCGAUUUGCCACGAGAAGGACAUGGCCUGGUGGCUACUGCACCUUCAGCUUCCGCACACAUAAAUACAUAUGGAACACACCGGACCUAGUCUCCAGCCUGGAGCCAUGCCUACAGCAUGGCUGAAGCAUGAAGCAGGGCUAACUGGCCACAUUCAACCUCCAUCAGCUGAAGCACAAUACACCUGCAAACCUAUGAGUCUGAGAAUAAAGGCUUGUUAUUGAAAGCCACUAAGAUUUGGGGUGGUUUGUUAUCCAACAUUCUGAUGGCAACAGCAGUAAUAGAUCACCAGGUCUUUGUGAUUUUGCUUUUAAAUAAAUUCACUAAUUCUAAA
rnacentral:lncRNA from 10 species